rnacentral:tRNA from 1 species
GAAAAUCUUUGGGUCGGUGGUUCGAGUCCACCUCUAGACA